rnacentral:rRNA from 1 species
GACAGAGGGUGCGAACGUUGCUCGGAAUCAUUGGGCGUAAAGCGCGUGUAGGCGGCAUGGCACGUCGGUGUGAAAGCCCGGGGCUCAACCCCGGCAGUGCACCCGAAACGACGAUGCUAGAGUGCUGGAGAGGCGGGUGGAAUUCCUGGUGUAGAGGUGAAAUUCGUAGAUAUCAGGAGGAACACCGGUGGCGAAGGCGGCCCGCUGGCCAGCGACUGACGCUGAGACGCGAAAGCGUGGGGAGCAAACAGG